CUAAAUACUCCCUAGUGACCGAUAGUGAACCAGUACCGUGAGGGAAAGGUGAAAAGCACCCCGGGAGGGGAGUGAAACAGUUCCUGAAACCAUGUGCCUACAAGCUGUCGGAGCACAUUUACGUGUGACGGCGUGCCUCUUGCAGAAUGAACCGGCGAGUCAUGAUUGCGUGCAAGGUUAAGGUGGAAAAACCGGAGCCGCAGCGAAAGCGAGUCUGAAAUGGGCGUACGAAGUACGCAGUUAUGUACCCGAAACCAGGUGACCUACCCAUGUCCAGGUUGAAGGUGCGGUAAAACGCACUGGAGGACCGAACCCGUAUCAGUUGAAAAUGGUUGGGAUGAGGUGUGGGUAGCGGUGAAAUUCCAAACGAACUUGGAGAUAGCUGGUUCUCUCCGAAAUCUCUUUAGGGGGAGCCUCGAGGUUUAGAAUCAUGGAGGUAGAGCACUGUUUGGACUAGGGGCCCGUCAUGGGUUACUGACUUCAGAUAAACUCCGAAUGCCAUUGAUUUUUACUCGGGAGUCACACGGUGAGUGAUAAGAUCCAUCGUGGAAAGGGGAACAGCCCAGAUCAUCAGCUAAGGUCCCUAAAUAUAUGCUAAGUGGAAAAGGAUGUGGAAUUGCACAGACAACUAGGAUGUUGGCUCAGAAGCAGCCAUCAUUUAAAGAGUGCGUAAUAGCUCACUAGUCGAGUGACUCUGCGCCGAAAAUGUACCGGGGCUAAGCAUAUUACCGAAGCUAUGGAUGCAUCCAUCAGGAUGCGUGGUAGGAGAGCGUUCCAAGGGCGAUGAAGUCAGACCGUAAGGACUGGUGGAGCGCUUGGAAGUGAGAAUGCCGGUAUGAGUAGCGAAAGACAGGUGAGAAUCCUGUCCACCGAAUGACUAAGGUUUCCUGGGGAAGGCUCGUCCUCCCAGGGUUAGUCGGGACCUAAGUCGAGGCCGAGAGGCGUAGACGAUGGACAACAGGUUGAUAUUCCUGUACCAGUUGAUUGUGCUUGAGUGAUGGAGUGACGCAGAAGGCUAAGCGAUCCGGACGAUUGGAAGUGUCCGGCCAAGCAGCAAGUCAGUUGAUGAGUCAAAUGCUUAUCAGCGGGUUGACAAGCUGUGACGGGGAGCGAAAUUAUAGUAGCGAAGUCGUUGAUGUCACGCUGCCGAGAAAAGCUUCUAGCGAAUAAUCAACUGCCCGUACCGCAAACCGACACAGGUAGUCGAGGAGAGUAUCCUAAGGUGAGCGAGCGAACUCUCGUUAAGGAACUCGGCAAAAUGACCCCGUAACUUCGGGAGAAGGGGUGCUGAUCGCAAGAUCAGCCGCAGUGAAAAGGCCCAGGCGACUGUUUAUCAAAAACACAGGUUUCUGCAAAAUCGUAAGAUGAAGUAUAGGGGCUGACGCCUGCCCGGUGCUGGAAGGUUAAAAGGAAGAGUUAGCUUCGGCGAAGCCCUGAAUUGAAGCCCCAGUAAACGGCGGCCGUAACUAUAACGGUCCUAAGGUAGCGAAAUUCCUUGUCGGGUAAGUUCCGACCCGCACGAAAGGCGUAACGAUCUGGGCACUGUCUCAACGAGAGACUCGGUGAAAUUGAAUUGCCUGUGAAGAUGCAGGCUACCCGCGACAGGACGGAAAGACCCCAUGGAGCUUUACUGUAGCUUGAUAUUGAGUGCUUGUACUGCUUGUACAGGAUAGGUAGGAGCCAUAGAAGCCAGGACGCUAGUUUUGGCAGAGGCGUUGGUGGGAUACUACCCUUGCAUUAUGAUCACUCUAACCCGCACCACUGAUCGUGGUGGGAGACAGUGUCAGGUGGGCAGUUUGACUGGGGCGGUCGCCUCCCAAAAGAUAACGGAGGCGCCCAAAGGUUCGCUCAGAAUGGUUGGAAAUCAUUCGCAGAGUGUAAAGGCACAAGCGAGCUUGACUGCGAGACAGACAGGUCGAGCAGGGACGAAAGUCGGGCUUAGUGAUCCGGUGGUUCCGCAUGGAAGGGCCAUCGCUCAACGGAUAAAAGCUA
rnacentral:rRNA from 1 species